rnacentral:rRNA from 1 species
UAACCUGCUAACUAGUUACGCAAACUUUCGAGUUUGUGGAUAACUUCUUAGAGGGACUAUCUGUGUCUAGCAGAUGGAAGUUUGAGGCAAUAACAGGUCUGUGAUGCCCUCAGAUGUUCUGGGCCGCACGCGCGCUACACUGACAAAGGCAGCGAGUUUAUUUUCCUGGGUCGGAAGGCUUGGGUAAUCUUGUGAAACUUUGUCGUGAUGGGGAUAGAUCUUAGUAAUUAUCGAUCUUCAACGAGGAAUUCCUAGUAAGCGCGGUUCAUCAGAUCGCGUUGAUUACGUCCCUGCCCUUUGUACACACCGCCCGUCGCU